rfam:Halolamina pelagica strain CDK2 SY89_scf01, whole genome shotgun sequence.
CCCGAUAGCUCGGGACGAAAUGUGGUCGGACGGGGCACGCGCCCCGAAAGGCGGCGGAGCCGCCGACAUCCCCGACUGAAUCGCAAG